CAUCUACUCUGUUGAGCCUCAACAACUGAGGAGACACAGUUCUGAAACAUGUACUCCAGGUCAGAACACAGAUCUUGUGAUAUCCAGUGGUUGGAGUUCUGAG